rnacentral:lncRNA from 1 species
AAGGAUUUGUUUUUAUUGUCUUUAGUUUCUUCCUCGAUGACGUCUUCCAGUCGUUGUUGAAGGGUGAUCGAGGAGCGAUAAUGCUGUGGAUGGCAAUACUGGAGUUUGAGAUUUGAAGUGGAAUUGUGCGGUGAUUUUGGCUAUGGGGUCAGCACGUUGGAGUGUUCAGGUUUUUGGUUUUUUCUUAUUUUUCUUUUUAGUGGUUUUCAUGGGAGGAAUUUGAAUAUAAUUCUUUUUUUUCCUUCCAAUUGUUCGCCAUCCUGCGAAGG